AGCAGCUACGCCAUAAGCGAUAAGUGCUGAAAGCAUCUAAGCACGAAGCGUACCUAGAAAAGAGACACC
rnacentral:rRNA from 1 species